rnacentral:rRNA from 1 species
GACGAACGCUGGCGGCGUGCUUAACACAUGCAAGUCGAACGGAAAGGCCCUGCUUUUGUGGGGUGCUCGAGUGGCGAACGGGUGAGUAACACGUAAGUAACCUGCCCUUGACUUUGGGAUAACUUCAGGAAACUGGGGCUAAUACCGGAUAGGAGCUCCUGCUGCAUGGUGGGGGUUGGAAAGUUUCGGCGGUUGGGGAUGGACUCGCGGCUUAUCAGCUUGUUGGUGGGGUAGUGGCUUACCAAGGCUUUGACGGGUAGCCGGCCUGAGAGGGUGACCGGCCACAUUGGGACUGAGAUACGGCCCAGACUCCUACGGGAGGCAGCAGUGGGGAAUAUUGCACAAUGGGCGGAAGCCUGAUGCAGCAACGCCGCGUGCGGGAUGACGGCCUUCGGGUUGUAAACCGCUUUCGCCUGUGACGAAGCGUGAGUGACGGUAAUGGGUAAAGAAGCGCCGGCUAACUACGUG